GAAAAAUAAUAAUUUUUUUUUUUUUACAAAAAUAUAUUGUAUUUUUACAAGGUCUAACUAAAUUAGUACACUUACAAGCAAAAUAAAAUUGGUCUAACUAAAUUAGUACAGAUACAAGCAAAAUAAAAUUAAGUUCAGUUAUUAAAAUAUAAAAAUUAAUUAGAAAAGUCCAGUCUAAAAAAACCUAGUUCAGCUAAAGAAAAAAAAAAAGUACACGCCAAAAGUAUCUCUCCAUCGACCAGAAACACUUUCUAUUGUGUUCAUGUACUGCACCAUCGCCUCCCACUAAAUUCGAUUGGAUUGUCGGUCAAGCCUUCAUUUACCUACUCUGUGAUCAGAAUAAAACUGUUACCGACACAAGACGAAGCAGCCACUGAGACAAAAGCUAGUGAAGAAAGAAAACUAGAAGUAACAAUCUAGCGCAGAAAAUCUAAACAUGCAUGAAGCGAAGGACUUCUCCAAAAAAGUUGUGUUCCUCGACAAUCAUGUCCACUGGAAAAACAGACUAGUUCAUGGCAAUUUCAAUCUCAUAUAACUAUGAAGUCCACCUUAGGGAAUUAAAACUGGAGCCCCAACACCGAUUAUCACCGGUAUGCAACUAUUCUGCAAACACAGACCCGAGAAAACUGAAAAAAUAAAAUCUGUUUAUUCAAAACCAAACAAAAACCUCUCAAACAAAAUCCCAAAAAAAUACAUAAGCAAAAUAAUCAUGUACGAGGCAAUCCCUGCCAAAAGGCAGAGGAGCCUCGUCGCACAGUCAUCCUCUGUUUGUACUCUGUUGUGAAACUGCCCUCUUUUGCCCUCUUUGCAACUCCCUUCUAUCUUACUAAAAGCGAAUUAAUUUUUAUUUUAUUUUAUUUCUCUAUUUCAAUAAAAAUAUUAUGUUAAAAAAAAGAAAGAAAGCGAGUGUAUUUAAAUUUAAAUUUAGUUCAUAAUUUUUCUUAAAUGCAAAAUUUAUCUU
rnacentral:lncRNA from 1 species